rnacentral:rRNA from 1 species
AGAGUUUGAUCCUGGCUCAGGACGAACGCUGGCGGCACGCUUAACACAUGCAAGUCGAACGAGAGAAGAGGAGCUUGCUUUUCUGAUCUAGUGGCGGACGGGUGAGUAACACGUGAGCAAUCUGCCUUUCAGAGGGGGAUACCGAUUGGAAACGAUCGUUAAUACCGCAUAACAUAAUUGAACCGCAUGAUUUGAUUAUCAAAGAUUUAUCGCUGAAAGAUGAGCUCGCGUCUGAUUAGCUAGUUGGUAAGGUAACGGCUUACCAAGGCGACGAUCAGUAGCCGGACUGAGAGGUUGAUCGGCCACAUUGGGACUGAGACACGGCCCAGACUCCUACGGGAGGCAGCAGUGGGGAAUAUUGCACAAUGGAGGAAACUCUGAUGCAGCGAUGCCGCGUGAGGGAAGAAGGUUUUAGGAUUGUAAACCUCUGUCUUCAGGGACGAAAAAUGACGGUACCUGAGGAGGAAGCUCCGGCUAACUACGUGCCAGCAGCCGCGGUAAUACGUAGGGAGCGAGCGUUAUCCGGAAUUACUGGGCGUAAAGGGCGCGUAGGCGGUGUUUCAAGUCGUUCGUUAAAUAUUGAGGCUUAACCUCAAGGAGCGGCCGAAACUGAGACACUGGAGACACAGAGAGGCAAACAGAAUUCCUGGUGUAGCGGUGAAAUGCGUAGAUAUCAGGAAGAAUACCGGUGGCGAAGGCGGUUUGCUGGAUGUGAUCUGACGCUGAAGCGCGAAAGCCGGGGGAGCGAACGGGAUUAGAUACCCCGGUAGUCCCGGCAGUAAACGAUGUAUGCUGGGUGUGGCCGUAGCGAUACAGCCGUGCCGAAGUUAACGCGAUAAGCAUACCGCCUGGGGAGUACGGUCGCAAGAUUGAAACUCAAAGGAAUUGACGGGGGCCCGCACAAGCGGUGGAGCACGUGGUUUAAUUCGAUGCAAACCGAAGAACCUUACCUGGACUUGACAUACACGUAGUAGCGAAUCGAAAGAGGAGCGAGGAUGUAGCAAUACAUUCAGCGUGAACAGGUGCUGCAUGGCUGUCGUCAGCUCGUGUCGUGAGAUGUUGGGUUAAGUCCCGCAACGAGCGCAACCCCUGUUGCCGGUUGCUAACGCGCAAAGGCGAGCACUCCGGCGAGACUGCCAUCGACAAGAUGGAGGAAGGUGGGGACGACGUCAAGUCAUCAUGGCCCUUAUGUCCAGGGCGACACACAUGCUACAAUGGCUGGUACAGAGAGAAGCGAAGCCGAGAGGCCGAGCAGAUCCCAUCAAAGCCAGUCCCAGUUCGGAUUGCAGUCUGCAACUCGACUGCAUGAAGUUGGAAUCGCUAGUAAUCGCGGAUCAGCCAAGCCGCGGUGAAUACGUUCCCGGGCCUUGUACACACCGCCCGUCACACCAUCCGAGUUGGGUGCUCUCGAAGUCGGAGGCUUAACCGCAAGGAAAGAUCCGCCUAAAGAGUGUCCGGUGAGGAGGGUGAAGUCGUAACAAGGUAGCCGUACGGGAACGUGCGGCUG